GAGAGACGCUGGAGGAUGAGGAAGUGGAUAUCUCUCUCUCCCCCUUUCCAUAGUGACUUUAUUUUUUAGUUCGGAGGCGGCCUCAUCCUGCCUUUUCUUGUCACUUAGUUGGGCGAACCAGGCAGCGUCGGCGUCGAUGAAGGACUCGUGAACUUUGGAUACAACGAAAUCACCUCAGCAACGAACUCUCCUGGCAUCUGCGUGCUGGCACCAUGGUCAUCCUCAUUGCCUAGGUUGCUCGGAGUGCGGGAUGGCUGGUGAUGGCAGGACCCGGAGUCACCAUGACGUCAUCGUUGGAGUACGCAUGCGUCACUGUCAGUUGUUCCUCCCACCUCUCCUUCUCCUCCUCUUUCUCCACACUCUCCUCACGCCUCGGCUGUCGCUCGCCUCCG